UACGUAGGUGGCAAGCGUUGUCCGGAUUUACUGGGCGUAAAGAGCGCGCAGGCGGUCCUUUAAGUCUGAUGUGAAAGCCCCCGGCUCAACUGGGGAGGGUCACGCGAUACUGCUCGACUUGAAGGCAGGAGAGGGAAGUGGAAUUCCCGGUGUAGUGGUGAAAUGCGUAGAUAUCGGGAGGAACACCAGUGGCGAAGGCGACUUCCUGGCCUGUUCUUGACGCUGAGGCGCGAAAGCUAGGGUAGCAAACGGG
rnacentral:rRNA from 1 species